rfam:Schistosoma mansoni, Puerto Rico, WGS project CABG01000000 data, contig: 0171
AUCCAGCUGACGAGUCCCAAAUAUGACGAAACGCGUGUCCUGGAU